CCACACCAGACUUCCUGGGUUCAAAGUCCUCUUCCACCUUCUUUAAGCAGUAUAACCUUGGCCAAACUACCUUCCCUCUCUUAGCCUUCAUAUCCUGAAAUAAAAUGGGGAGGAUAAGAGUUCCUUCCUUACAGGGACCUGGGAGUGAUUUUGAGAUGCUAGCAUCUGUCGGCACACAAUUGGUGCUUAGUAACCAGCAGUUACCAUCACCAUGGGAACCAUUAUUUCCCAUUGUUCCCCUUCUCUGGCCAGUGCCCAGAAGAUGGAUCUUUCCAUCCCUGAACCUCAAAUGCUUGAGCCCUGUGGGUGCCGGAUGUUACAGGAUGGGCACAUCGUUCUCCAUCAGGAGUGUUACUGGAACACCACUCCUUCAGGAAUCCCUGGGCACCUACUGUGUGCUGGGCGCCAAGUGGAGAGACGGCCAUGGUCAUCAGUGCCACGCCCUUGGGAUGAUGUAGGAACUGCCUGAAUGGAAGCCAGGUACCUGCAUGCAUCCCGUGAGCCCUGGCCAUCUGGUGUGAUUUCCUCAGGCCCAGCGUCUGGUGGCAUACAAGAACCCACACGCUCUCAGAGGAGAAAAUGUCCUCAGAAACAUGGCAUUCCAGAUGUAAUGGCAAUCCCCAUGCCCAGGAGCUAAAGCUGAUGGACUGGCAUUGCCACAAGAUGCCACGAAGUCGUCCUGG